rfam:Canis lupus familiaris chromosome X, whole genome shotgun sequence.
GCUUUUCAAUUUUUAAAAUGUCCCAGCUACUCGGGAGGCUGAGGCAGGAGGAUCGCUUGAGCCCAGGAGUUCUGGGCUGCAGUGCGCUAUGCCGAUCGGGUGUCCGCACUAAGUUCGGCAUCAAUAUGGUGACCUCCCGGGAGCGGGGGACCACCAGGUUGCCUAAGGAGGGGUGAACCGGCCCAGGUCGGAAACGGAGCAGGUCAAAACUCCCGUGCUGAUCUGUAAAAGAAGUUCUAAAUUAUCACAAUAAGCAUAGGUCCUGGUAUGGUAGAAGUACCAA